UACGGAGGGUGCUAGCGUUGUUCGGAAUGACUGGGCGUAAAGGGCGCGUAGGCGGCCGCUUGCGUCGGAUGUGAAAGCCCGGGGCUCAACCCCGGAACGGCAUCCGAUACGGAGCGGCUCGAGACCGAGAGAGGUGAGUGGAAUACCCAGUGUAGAGGUGAAAUUCGUAGAUAUUGGGUGGAACACCGGCGGCGAAAGCGGCUCACUGGCUCGGUACUGACGCUGAGGUGCGAAAGCGUGGGGAGCAAACAGG
rnacentral:rRNA from 1 species